rnacentral:rRNA from 1 species
GAUGAACGCUGGCGGCGUGCCUAAUACAUGCAAGUCGAGCGAACAGACGAGGAGCUUGCUCCUCUGACGUUAGCGGCGGACGGGUGAGUAACACGUGGAUAACCUACCUAUAAGUCUGGGAUAACUUCGGGAAACCGGAGCUAAUACCGGAUCAUAUAUUGAACCGCAUGGUUCAAUAGUGAAAGACGGUUUUGCUGUCACUUAUAGAUGGAUCCGCGCCGCAUUAGCUAGUUGGUAAGGUAACGGCUUACCAAGGCAACGAUGCGUAGCCGACCUGAGAGGGUGAUCGGCCACACUGGAACUGAGACACGGUCCAGACUCCUACGGGAGGCAGCAGUAGGGAAUCUUCCGCAAUGGGCGAAAGCCUGACGGAGCAACGCCGCGUGAGUGAUGAAGGUCUUCGGAUCGUAAAACUCUGUUAUUAGGGAAGAACAAAUGUGUAAGUAACUAUGCACGUCUUGACGGUACCUAAUCAGAAAGCCACGGCUAACUACGUG